UCUCUCAGGUGUCGUAUUAUUU
rnacentral:siRNA from 1 species